CUGGAGCCCUUUCCGGCCUUCGCCUGCUCGCCCAGCCCCGGAAGUGGCGUCACCCUCAAGCCGGAACCUCUGGCUUUCGUGAGGAUACUGAAUAUUGCGAAUUUGAAUUUUUGAUGAUUGGAACUCUUCAGAUUAAAGAAAUAGAAAUGGGGCUUCCCUGGUGGCGCAGUGGUUGAGAAUCUACCUGCCAAUGCAGGGGACAUGGGUUCGAGCCCUGGUCCGGGAAGAUCCCACAUGCCAUGGAGCAACUAGGCCCGUGAGCCACAACUACUGAGCCUACGCUCUAGAGCCUGCGAGCCGCAGCUACUGAGUCCGUGUGCCACAACUACUGAAGCCUGCGUGCCUAGAGCCUGUGCUCCACAGCAAGAGAAGCCACCACAAUGAGAAGCCCGAGCACUGCAACCAAGAGUAGCCCCCGCUUGCCACAACUAGAGAAAACCCGCGCGCAGCAAUGAGGACCCAACACAGCCAAAUAAAUAAAUAAUAAAUUUUUUAAAAAAGAAAAACUUCAUAAAAAAAAGAAAAACUUUCAUGGCCUAGCAGAAUCUUUGGAGUUGGUUGUGGGACACAGGUCCACCUUCUCCCCAGGUUGCCAGCCUCCUGAAUAAAGCAACAUUUCCCUUUCCAACCAACUCUAGUCUCUCGAGUACUGGCUUUUGAGCAGUGAGCAGCCAAACCUGAGUUUGGUAACAGCUUCACAUAUAUACAUAAUUAUCUAUAGACAAGUCCAGGUUCUGCCACUUGCUGCUGGAAUAUCUCUCUUGGUCUCCAUUUUUGCCUCUCAUAGAGUCAUUAUGAGGCUCAAGUGAGAUCAUGUGUAUAAAUAAAAAUGUGUAUGUAUGUAAGAUAAUUGUUAUUACAGCUAGACAUCCUUUACUUUCUCCACACAUAAUGUUGCCAGGUAGCGAUUGAUUCCCAAGUGUUUGGAUGAGUACAAUUUUUAAGAUAUAUUUACACUGCAUGAUUCCAACUAGAUGACAUUCUGGAAAAGGCAAAACUAUGGAGACAGUAAAAAGAUCAGUGUUUGCCAGGGUUUGGGAGUGGGGGAGGGACGAAUAGGCAGAGCACAGAGGUUCUUUAGGGAUGUGAAACUACUCUGUUUACCAUGAUAAUGGAUACAUGUCAUUAUACAUUUAUCCAAACCCAUAGAAUGUAUAAAACCAAUAGUGAACCAUAAUGCAAACUAUGGAUUUAAGGUGAUUAUGAUGAGUCAAUGUAGGUUCAGCCAUUGUAACAAAUGUACCACUCUAGUGAGGAAUGUUGAUAAUAGAUGAGGCUGCGCAUGUGUGGGGGCAGUGGGUAUACAGAAAUCUCUGUACCUUCCUUUUCAUUUCGCUGUGAACCUACAACUGCUCUAAAAACACUGUCUUUUUAAAAAAGAGAGAGAGAGAAAAUGGAAAAAAAAAUAA